rnacentral:SRP_RNA from 1 species
CGGUGAGCGCACACGACUUGCUCCCGCUGAAUCCCCCCAGGCCGGAAACGGAGCAAGGGUAGGCAGGUUGAGCAGUGCGAUGUGCUGCUCACCUUAU